GUGGGGAAUUUUGGACAAUGGGCGAAAGCCUGAUCCAGCAAUGCCGCGUGUGUGAUGAAGGCCUUCGGGUUGUAAAGCACUUUUGGCGGGAACGAAAAGGACCGUGCCAAUACCAUGGUCUGAUGACGGUACCCGCAGAAUAAGCACCGGCUAACUACGUGCCAGCAGCCGCGGUAAUACGUAGGGUGCAAGCGUUAAUCGGAAUUACUGGGCGUAAAGAGUGCGCAGGCGGUUUUGCAAGACCGAUGUGAAAUCCCCGGGCUUAACCUGGGAACUGCAUUGGUGACUGCAAGGCUAGAGUGUGUCAGAGGGAGGUGGAAUUCCGCAUGUAGCAGUGAAAUGCGUAGAUAUGCGGAGGAACACCGAUGGCGAAGGCAGCCUCCUGGGAUAACACUGACGCUCAUGCACGAAAGCGUGGGGAGCAAACAGG
rnacentral:rRNA from 1 species